ensembl:snRNA U6 U6 spliceosomal RNA
GUGGUCGCUUCUCAGCACAUGCACCAGAAUUGGAAUAAUACAGAAAAGGUUAGCAUGUCCCCUCUGUAAGGAAGACACACAAAUUUGUGAAGUGUCCUAUAUUUCU